CUGGAACUGACGGGAACACACUGAGAACCCUUGAUGGUUGAAUUAGGGAUUAAUUCUCCGCAUGACUAAUUUCCACAAGGGGAAUCUGAAGUCAUGCUCUGAAAUCUCGUGAGAGGUGGGUUGUUGCAGGAAGGUGGAAGGAGGACGAUGCUGGAAAUGAGGGAGAGGAGAUGUCGUGUAUGUAGAGGAACUGCUACUAAGCUGGACAGUCUGCGGGCAGGUGGAAUGGAGAGAUGCUGAGGGAGAAAUAAAAACCAUUAGAAGUGGAAGAAUAGACAUGAGGGUCCAACUGCAGAGCUCACUCCUGCGGACAGGAGUCGGGGGGCUUUUCCCCCCAAGGAAUGAACUAAACAGGAUUUAACAACAUUCAGUUAUUUCCACAAAUUACUUUAAGUAGUGUUAUUGAAAAGUUGUUUGUCAGGUAACAGCCAAGGGCCAAAACUAAAAGCCUAAAUUUGGUUUCUUGUGUGUAAGGUCUGAAUAAAAUACUUAGACAAAUGACCCUAAACACGGGUGAUGUUAGGUAAAGUGCAGGUGAGCCUGUUGGUCAAGGUGGCAUUAAAGGGAGAGUAAGUGAUUCUGCAGAAGGAUUGGUCAAAUUUAAACUCCAAUGCAAAGCAGAUAAAACCCUCUCUUUAGGAACUCUCUCUGCCACCACUCUUGUGCACAACCACUUACGCCGCCUGUUGCUGAUUGGCUGAAACAGUGUUGUGGGGAAGGCCCUUCUCUGUUUUCCAAAGCCUGGGCUGUGUAGGGAAACUGGAGUUUAUUUUCAGAACACACACAAAACGGAGAGCUAGCAAACCGUCAGGAAAUUCUGAAUUUUAUAAAGUGGAUUGUGCAAGUGUGUAUUCUAAGUGUAUUACAAUCAAUUACUAUCCCUUUAAAGUUAGUACGGGGCUAUGAAACCGUGAACCAUCGAUUAUAAUAAAUCUAAACCCUCUGGAAUAAAGCUGAAAACAUUAACCUCUCUUGGAAUUAAGAAUGGCGACAGAGAAAUUGGCAGAUGGAUGCUGCUGUGAUCCAGCUUACAGAAAUAACAAUAGUUACAGGGGCACUCCACUGAGACGAUUGGCUCACAGAGGUUGCGGCAAUAUCUGAUUAGUUUAACUGAGUCAUCUGAUUGAAUUAGGCGCUGGAACAGAGAGAGACAGAGAGUAAUUAAUAAAAAGAUAAGCAUGAAGGCAGUCGUCUUUCCUGAUUGAACUCAUCGCUUCAGACUCACCUCACUCCUGCGGACCCCAGGGUGCAAGCCAAGAGCGAGCGUGGAGGGAUCCCAGCAAUGAGGUCUGCAAUUGGAUCCUUUUUGUAAAAGAAGAAAAGACUGGACAGGCAGGAGGAAAAGCUGGAUUAAGACACAUAAGUUAGCAUAUAGCCUCACAGUUGGAGAUAAAAGUGAGUGUAGGGCUGGAAUAGCAAGGGAAUGAUUAAUAUACAAAGUGAUGACUAAAUGGAGAGAGAGAGCAAACAGAACAGAGUGUGGACACUAGACUAAUAUGAGAAUUAGUUCAGAAUAAUUAAUUAAGCCAUGAAUGAGAGAUGGUAGUUGCUCUCUUAUUUGUGUCCUGUGUUCAUGGUAAUGAGGUUGAUAAACCGAUAUAUCAGACCAUUGUUGCCCCUCACCAGAUACGACGCCUCACAGCCUUUAAAUAAACAGUCUGGGACAUCUG